CCUACGGGAGGCAGCAGUGGGGGAUAUUGCACAAUGGGGGGAACCCUGAUGCAGCGACGCCGCGUGGGUGAAGGAGUGCUUCGGCAUGUAAAGCCCUAUCGGCAGGGAAGAAGCAAGACGGUACCUGACUAAGAAGCCCCGGCUAACUACGUGCCAGCCGCCGCGGUAAUACGUAGGGGGCGAGCGUUUUCCGGAUUCACUGGGUGUAAAGGGAGCGUAGACGGCCAAGCAAGCCAGGGGCUAAAGCCCGGGGCCCAACCCCCGGACUGCCCUUGGAACU
rnacentral:rRNA from 1 species